rnacentral:rRNA from 1 species
UACCUGCAGCUCAAGUGGUGGCCGCUAUUAUUGGGCCUAAAACGUCCGUAGCCGGCUUAUUAAAUGCCUGGGUAAAUCGUGUAGCUCAACUAUACGAAUUCCGGGUAGACUGGUAAGCUCGAGACCGGGAGAAGUUAGAGGUACUCCUGGGGUAGAGGUGAAAUUCUGUAAUCCUAGGGGGACCACCAGUGGCGAAGGCGUCUGACUAGAACGGGUCUGACGGUGAGGGACGAAGCCCUGGGGCGCAAACCGGAUUAGAUACUCGGGUAGUCCAGGUGUAAACGCUGCUUGCCUGAUGUUGGUUGGGCUCCGAGCCCAAUCAGUGUCGGAGAGAAGUUGUUAAGCAAGCUGCCUGGGAAGUACGGUCGCGAGACUGAAACUUAAAGGAAUUGGCGGGGGAGCACAGCAACGGGUGGAGCGUGCGGUUU